UACGUAGGGUGCAAGCGUUGUCCGGAAUUAUUGGGCGUAAAGAGCUCGUAGGCGGGCUGCCGCGUCCGGGGUGAAAUCCCACGGCUCAACCGUGGAACGGCCCCGGGUACGGGCGGCCUCGAGGGGGGUAGGGGCGUGCGGAACUGUGGGUGGAGCGGUGAAAUGCGUUGAGAUCCACAGGAACUCCGGUGGCGAAGGCGGCACGCUGGACCCUCUCUGACGCUGAGGCGCGAAAGCCAGGGGAGCAAACGGG
rnacentral:rRNA from 1 species